AAAGCAAUUUGGGUACCAAAAUGCAAGUAGGUGCCUCUUGUAGGUGUGUUGGAGAAAUGGGGAGCAAAGCACAAAAAUUUGGAUGCUCUUAGCACAAAAGGAAUUAUGGGAGCAUAUAAAGGUGUAUGGUCAAGUUAUACUUAAGCAUAUACUUAGGGGAGCAUCUUAACUUAAAUUUUUCAAUAAAAAUACUUUGUACCUCAU